UACGAAGGGGGCGAGCGUUGCUCGGAAUCACUGGGCGUAAAGGGUGCGUAGGCGGGGUUUUAAGUCAGGGGGGAAAUCCUGGAGCUCAACUCCAGAACUGCCUUUGAUACUGAAGAUCUUGAGUUCGGGAGAGGUGAGUGGAACUGCGAGUGUAGAGGUGAAAUUCGUAGAUAUUCGCAAGAACACCAGUGGCGAAGGCGGCUCACUGGCCCGAUACUGACGCUGAGGCACGAAAGCGUGGGGAGCAAACAGG
rnacentral:rRNA from 1 species